UAUUUAAAAAAGAAUUAACUAUUUUUUUUUUAAUUAAAUUAAAAUUUUGUUUUUUUUUUUUUUAGUAGAAGCUUUUUUAUUAAAAAACUAUUUCUAUUGUUAUUCGUUCUAAAUUUUUAAUUAUGUGUGUGACGUGACGAAGUAAGAGUUUUCGUAUAGAACGUAAGAUUUUUUUUUAUUAAAACCAGUGUGUUUUUCAUUCUAUCUCUCUCUCGUUUUCUUUCUCUUUUCUAAUAUACCUUAAAUUUGUCUUCUACAUAAUAAAAAAAAAUUUUCUUGUGAAUCAAGAAUUAUAGCUUUUUUUUUUAUUUUAUUUAUUAGCAACAUAAUUUAUUAUUAAUUUUUUCAAAUUAUUUUAAUUUUUUUAUUAAUACAUCUACGUAUAUAAUGAAGGUUCGGUGGACGACGAAACGAAAAUCAUAAAAAAAAUAGUAGCAACACGAUGGUCACCCUUAUUUUUUUAUGAUGUGGUGUGGUUGGUUUUAAGGAAAUUUUUAUAAAAAUCCACUUAUUGACAUUUUCAAUUAUAAAAAAUACACACUGCGACCACCAUCUAUAAAAUAUACGAUACACAAUUGUACUAUAUAUAUAUUAUAUUUUCUAGGCAAAAAAUGU